rnacentral:rRNA from 1 species
CCCGCUGAACUUAAGCAUAUCAAUAAGCGGAGGAAAAGAAACUAACAAGGAUUCCCUCAGUAACGGCGAGUGAAGCGGGAAGAGCUCAAAUUUAAAAUCUGGUUUGCUUGCAAGCCCGAGUUGUAGUCUGAAGAAACGUUUUCCAUAAGCACUGAGGCAAAAGUCCCUUGGAACAGGGCAUCAUAGAGGGUGAGAAUCCCGUCCAUGGUCUCAAGUUGUUUAUUUUGUGAUACGUUUUCAAAGAGUCAGGUUGUUUGGGAAUGCAGCCUAAAAUGGGUGGUAAAUUUCAUCUAAAGCUAAAUAUUGGCGAGAGACCGAUAGCGAACAAGUACCGUGAGGGAAAGAUGAAAAGAACUUUGAAAAGAGAGUUAAACAGUGCGUGAAAUUGUUGAAAGGGAACCGUUUGAAGCCAGUCUUACUUGCCUGUGAUCAAUUUUUGCUUCGGCAUGAAUGCACUCUCGGGUAUGGUAGGCCAACGACAGUUUGGAAUGCGAGAAAAAAAUAGAGGAAAUGUGGCCUUCGGGUGUUAUAGUCCUCUAUAAAAUAUCGUGUUCUGGACUGAGGAUCGCAGCAAAAACGUGGGCAGGUGGAUUUCUGUGGUAACUGUCGAUUAGGACAACUUGUUGACCUAGUCUUCCUUAGCCUCACUAUUUACCUUGCUUCUAAUUUGCUUAGGUCGUUGGCAUAAUGGCUUUAAAUGACCCGUCUUGAAACACGG